rnacentral:rRNA from 1 species
AGCGAACGCUGGCGGCAGGCUUAACACAUGCAAGUCGAACGCCCGGGCAACCGGGAGUGGCAGACGGGUGAGUAACGCGUGGGAACGUACCCUUUGGUUCGGAAUAACUCAGGGAAACUUGAGCUAAUACCGGAUACGCACCGAGAGGGGGACAGAUGUAUUGCCGAAGGAUCGGCCCGCGUCCGAUUAGCUAGUUGGUGUGGUAAUGGCGCACCAAGGCGACGAUCGGUAGCUGGUCUGAGAGGAUGAUCAGCCACACUGGGACUGAGACACGGCCCAGACUCCUACGGGAGGCAGCAGUGGGGAAUAUUGGACAAUGGGGGCAACCCUGAUCCAGCCAUGCCGCGUGAGUGAUGAAGGCCUUAGGGUUGUAAAGCUCUUUCGGCGGGGACGAUAAUGACGGUACCCGCAGAAGAAGCCCCGGCUAACUUCGUGCCAGCCGCCGCAGUAAAAC